rnacentral:misc_RNA from 1 species
GCAUGCAUAAUUUACUAUAUUAUAUAAUAAAAAAAAUAAUAGAACAAGAGCAAAUUUGAAAUUUUCCUAAAAAUAUUUACAUACAAAAAGAAUUUAUUUACAUGUCAUAACACUGGAAUCAAAGAACAGUCUCCUUAUCAUUUUGUGCCGACAUGGUAAAAUAGUACAAAAUGACAAUGUUUCUCCAAGCAUCAGUUGAACUACAUUUGCCUGUGUUUCAAGCUGCAAUCACAACGAAUUGCUUCAUCACUGUUACAGUAUUCCACAAUAUCGGAAUUAUUGGGAAAACCAUCAACCACCACAAAAACAAAAUUAAACCUGCUUAUAAUCUCGUUUAGCAUGCAGCAGGAUUUGCACCAAAGAGUUUUUCCUACUCUGGAAAUGUGCCCGCAAGGUAUUUGUUGCAUCCACCACAGCUGGACUUAAUAUCUCACUCAAUCACUCAAAGGACCAACAGCAUUCAAUCAAUUGAUUUUUGUCCUGCAACAAGCCAUGUACACAUGCUUCCAGAGCUACGCAAUUAGCUACGGCAGCAGGUGCAUUUCCCCAGAGGUGUUCAUAACUGGAACUAGCAUUGACACUAGUUUCGAUUGAUAACUGUAACUGUCAUCAAACAGAAAACAUGCCUUCCAGAGAUCACAUUUCCACUUUAAGACUUCAAAAAUAAACUAUAUGGCAGAAUUGACUCUGCUAAGCUUAUUUUCCACCAAAAGCUAUGAUCUAACCCAUUCGAAGUUUGUCUCAAACCCAUUCGAAGUUUGUCUCUUUGGGCAAAACCAAAGCAAUCAGGCAGUUGGAUGAAUCAGGUGCAAUAGAAAGCAUUGAACACGUUUCAUGCGAGUAGGGAAGUAUGAAGAGAAGCCUUGCCCACAUGGAUUUCACAGCUGGGAUUUUAAUUACUCCAGCACAGUCCCUUUGCUUCAAGUAUGAUAUGAAGUCCUGAAACUGCAGGCUGAAAGUUUAGAACAACUGUGUAAUACAUUCAGAGUUACCCUAUUGGAUGCUCAAUAUUAAAAAGGAAGAUCACUAGAUUAAAUGUUUGAGUACCAAGAAAAAAUAGACAAUGAAUGAAUAUAAACAAAUGAAAUGACUUACGCCUUUUUGAUCACUCACAGAAGAUGGAAUCAACAGGCACACCUCCCUUUUAUGUGGUGGAGUACUUGUAAAUGUUGAUUUCACAUGCCGAAAAUCUGUGCGUUUGGUCAUAUCUAGUUUAGAGGGCCAUCUGCACCAGUAACGAGUCAGAAAAAUUGCAAGAUAAUUUUCUCAUUUUAAACAAAAUUGAAACAGAUGGCAAAGGAAAAUAAUGAGGAAUCCAGUUCUUACUCCACAGGUUCAGAAACUGGACUUGAAUAUUUGCAAAUAUCAGAAUUAACUCUAUAUGCAUAAAUUGUGCAAUAAUGAACCCCACUUUUACAUAAUGUGCCCUGCCACUGAUAUUGCUUAGACCUUCCAGAAUUUUCCACAUCAGUUGAUUCUGAAAAGGGUGGAGGUGGAGGAGGAGCAGGUGGCGGGGAUGGUGGCAAUGGAGGGGGUAUUUCAGGCUGGGGUGGUAUAGAUGCUAAAGGUGGCGGUACAACAGGUGGAGGGGGAAGUGGCGGUGGAGGGGGCAUUUCAGGCGGAGGCGGCAUAGAUGAUAAGGGUGGUGGAACAACAGGUAAGGAGAACAUUUGGUCAAAUUGUUGCAUUGGAGGUCUAUGUAUCUGUGCUAAUGGAGUGACAGAAGCAGGUAUAAAAGGGGGUGCAACAGUGCUACCCUGAAAGCUAUUGGGCACUACCACUGGUGAGAUUGGGUUCAAAGGAACAUGAUGAUUUGAACCUCGUGGAUCCCAUGCACUAUUUGGAGGAAGGUAAACAGGUCGGACAAAUUGAGAUGGCUGGAACUGCUGUGGUGGGAGAAUAGGUCGUCCCUGAGCUCCUAUGGGUACGCUUGGAAUGCUCCCAGGUGCAGGAUGCAACUCCAUUUCAUUUUUCUUGUACAUCCAAGUUUGCUCAGUAGCAGCAGAAACAGCAUGGCCACCUCCUUGCAAAGGGUCCACCCCCCCAAAUGAACGUACAGCUUGUACUGUAGACCCAUGAUUCUCUGGUUUUAUUCGGGGCGAUACAAGCUCCAUAGAGCUGCCGUCAGACUUUAUAGGGAAUGGCACAGUAUAGUUCUUUCCUGGUUGACUGAAUUCAACCUGCAAGAACAUUCCAGGACAACUUCGAAGAUUUGUCAGGACAGUGCUUGCAGCAUCAACAUUGCCACAAUCAACAAACCAACCACACCCCAUCUGUGUGUUUGCUCGCAUCAACCUGACUAUAGACCCGACAUUAGCAGUAGCAAGAUUGCAAAUUGACAUUAGGUCAUCAUCUGUGAUGAGAGGGGAGCUAACAUUUGGAAUACAAAUCCAAAGGGUGCUUGAUGGCACUUGGUCCACAUCCCUUGCCAUAGCAGUAUUGCUGGAUCCGUAUGUAUAAUUGUCAAAAUAAUUUGGGUUUUUUUUAAUGUUGUACUUUGCACAUAACGAUGCAACUAAGGAAGAUAAGUGAGACAUCCUUGUCCUACAGCUGUCAGCAGGGCUCCCGAUUGCAGUUUGAGCACAAGGAGACUCAAUCUUGCACAUGCUUCCAGAAUUAUUGGUUCUGAUUUCAGCAUGGAUUGGGGCUGGCAUUGAUCUUCCACCAUCCAGUUGAGGCAAGGGAACAUUAGAUGAUCCAGCAUUAAAAGGUGGCAGAUGAUUAUUUUUAUCCUUCCGAUGCCGCCUGAGAUGUGCCAUGACAGCAGCAGCUUCUUCAGGAGUUUCAAACUCCAUCAGUAAUGCUCCUUCAUUGCCAAGAUCAGUGACCAUGUAAGGGCCCUUGUAAAUCACUUUCCUUGAUUCAUGCAGAAUCUCAUCCCUUGCCCAUUGGCUUGAGAUAUUUCCAGCAUAAACAUGACAACUAGAACCAACUGCAACACCAUUCAUAGCUCCCCUAGUUCCCAAUCCUAUAUCCAUGAACUUUAUCUGCCAAGGAAAAUGGCAACGCAUGUAUUCCCGAGCCCUUAUGGCAUCAAUUAUGCUCCUGUACUCCACCAAGGCAAAUCCUUUGACUGGAAACAUAAAAAAUUGUUCUAUAGGGCCAAACCUCUCAAGUUGAAACUUCACAUGAGCUUCAGAUGCAUCAGGACCCAAAGAACCCAACCAAAGUUGUCUAGAAGCGGAGAAAAUAUCCAUUGCAGCAGGGUCCCCAUCGCAGAACCAAACAGUUUGAGUCAUUGAACCAUAUUGUGUCCCCAAAUGAUGUUUAGGAGAAGCAAAAGCAUUAUUUGUGGUUCCACUAGCAGAUCUCAUGACUGGUGAACUGAAGUCAAUAUUUGAAGCUGAAUUCUUGUCAAUAUGAACAGUGUGGUUUCUACCUUCAAAUGAAUUGUUCCUAGAGUCUAAUGUUUUUCUUGUGGCAGGUGAAAGCAUCUGUUGGUUCAAUAAGUCUCUAGGUAGGGAAGACUUGCCAUGUGAAGAAUUGGCAUGAUCACUUAUCUCAAAAUCCGUGGACCUUGACCCACCAUUAUCAAGACUAGUACCAUCUUUACUGGAGAGAUCAUUAGAGAUUUCAUGUUGAUUGGAGA